rnacentral:rRNA from 1 species
UACGUAGGGGGCAAGCGUUGUCCGGAUUUAUUGGGCGUAAAGAGCGUGUAGGCGGCUAGACAAGUCUGCUGUGAAAACUCGAGGCUCAACCUCGAGCUGUCGGCGGAAACUGUCUGGCUAGAGUCCGGAAGAGGAGAGUGGAAUUCCUGGUGUAGCGGUGAAAUGCGCAGAUAUCAGGAAGAACACCUGUGGCGAAGGCAGCUCUCUGGGACGGUACUGACGCUGAGACGCGAAAGCGUGGGGAGCGAACAGG